rnacentral:hammerhead_ribozyme from 1 species
GUCCAGAUGACGAGUCCCAAAUAGGAUGAAAUGUGCAUUCUAUAU